rnacentral:misc_RNA from 1 species
CGACAGGUAAUUUGGAGCUUAGUGAAAGUUUGACAAAGAGAAGAAAAAAUGCCCAAGCAUUAAUGAAGAUCCAUGGAAGUGGCCUAUAAAAGGAGGGGGGUUGCAAGCCAUUCAAGCCAUUAAAGCAAUUCAUUAAGCAUUAGAGAAGACACUUACAUUGGAGAAGCCAUGCAUUUUCAUUAGAAGAGAGAGCCAUUCAAGUUUCAUUUCAAGCAAUUCACUUUCAAGAGAGCAUUGAAGCAUUCACUUUCAUUAGAGUGGGGGG